rnacentral:rRNA from 1 species
AUGAACGCUGGCGGUAUGCUUAACACAUGCAAGUCGAACGGGGUACUUUCGGGUACCUAGUGACGGACGGGUGAGUAACGCGUGAGAAUCUGCCUUCAGGUUCGGGACAACAGUUGGAAACGGCUGCUAAUACCGGAUGUGCCGAGAGGUGAAAGCUUUAGUGCCUGAAAAUGAGCUCGCGUCUGAUUAGCUAGUUGGAGUGGUAAAGGCACACCAAGGCAACGAUCAGUAGCUGGACUGAAAGGAUGGCCAGUCACACUGGGACUGACACACGGCCCACACUCCUACGGGAGGCAGCAGUGGGGAAUUUUCCGCAAUGGGCGAAAGCCUGACGGAGCAAUACCGCGUGAGGGAGGAAGGCUUUUGGGUUGUAAACCUCUUUUAUUGAGGAAGAAGUUCUGACGGUACCCAAUGAAUCAGCAUCGGCUAACUCCGUGCCAGCAGCCGCGGUAAUACGGAGGAUGCAAGCGUUAUCCGGAAUUAUUGGGCGUAAAGGGUCCGCAGGUGGUCAUUCAAGUCUGCUGUUAAAGCAUGGAGCUUAACUCCAUAUCGGCAGUGGAAACUGAGUGACUAGAGUUCGGUAGGGGUCACGGGAAUUCCCAGUGUAGCGGUGAAAUGCGUAGAUAUUGGGAAGAACACCGGCGGCGAAAGCGCGUGACUGGGCUGAGACUGACACUGAGGGACGAAAGCUAAGGGAGCGAAAGGGAUUAGAUACCCCUGUAGUCCUAGCUGUAAACGAUGGAUACUAGGUGUUGCGCGUAUC